GAGGGGGGCUGCUCCUAGUACGAGAGGACCGGAGUGGACGCAUCACUGGUGUUCGGGUUGUCAUGCCAAUGGCACUGCCCGGUAGCUAAAUGCGGAAGAGAUAAGUGCUGAAAGCAUCUAAGCACGAAACUUGCCCCGAGAUGAGUUCUCCCUGAGACUUAGAGUCUCCUGAAGGAACGUUGAAGACGACGACGUUGAUAGGCCGGGUGUGUAAGCGCAGCGAUGCGUUGAGCUAACCGGUACUAAUGAACCGUGAGGCUUAACCUU
rnacentral:rRNA from 1 species